CCUACGGGUGGCAGCAGUGGGGAAUAUUGCACAAUGGGCGCAAGCCUGAUGCAGCGACGCCGCGUGAGCGAUGAAGGCCUUCGGGUCGUAAAGCUCUGUCCUAAGGGAAGAAUAAUGACGGUACCUUAGGAGGAAGCCCCGGCUAACUACGUGCCAGCAGCCGCGGUAAUACGUAGGGGGCUAGCGUUAUCCGGACUUACUGGGCGUACAGGGUGCGUAGGCGGCCCUUCGAGUCAGAGGUGACAGGCUACGGCUCAACCGUAGUAAGACUUUGAAACUGUAGGGCUUGAGUGCAGGUGGGGAGAGUGGUAUUCCCAUUGUAGUGGUGAAAUGCGUAGAUAUUGGGAUGAACACCAGUUGCGAAGGCGGCGAUCGGGACUUUAUCUGACGCUGAGGCACGAAAGCGUUGGGAGCGAACAGGAUUAGAUACCCGAGUAGGG
rnacentral:rRNA from 1 species